rnacentral:rRNA from 1 species
GAGUGGCGGACGGGUGAGUAACACGUGGGUAACCUGCCCUAAAGUGGGGGAUAACAUUUGGAAACAGAUGCUAAUACCGCAUAAAACCUAACACCGCAUGGUGUAGGGUUGAAAGAUGGUUUCGGCUAUCACUUUAGGAUGGACCCGCGGUGCAUUAGUUAGUUGGUGAGGUAAAGGCUCACCAAGACCGUGAUGCAUAGCCGACCUGAGAGGGUAAUCGGCCACACUGGGACUGAGACACGGCCCAGACUCCUACGGGAGGCAGCAGUAGGGAAUCUUCCACAAUGGACGAAAGUCUGAUGGAGCAACGCCGCGUGAGUGAAGAAGGUUUUCGGAUCGUAAAACUCUGUUGUUGGAGAAGAAUGUAUCUGAUAGUAACUGAUCAGGUAGUGACGGUAUCCAACCAGAAAGCCACGGCUAACUACGUGCCAGCAGCCGCGGUAAUACGUAGGUGGCAAGCGUUGUCCGGAUUUAUUGGGCGUAAAGCGAGCGCAGGCGGUUUCUUAAGUCUGAUGUGAAAGCCUUCGGCUCAACCGAAGAAGUGCAUCGGAAACUGGGAAACUUGAGUGCAGAAGAGGACAGUGGAACUCCAUGUGUAGCGGUGAAAUGCGUAGAUAUAUGGAAGAACACCAGUGGCGAAGGCGGCUGUCUGGUCUGUAACUGACGCUGAGGCUCGAAAGCAUGGGUAGCAAACAGGAUUAGAUACCCUGGUAGUCCAUGCCGUAAACGAUGAGUGCUAGGUGUUGGAAGGGUUUCCGCCCUUCAGUGCCGCAGCUAACGCAUUAAGCACUCCGCCUGGGGAGUACGACCGCAAGGUUGAAACUCAAAGGAAUUGACGGGGGCCCGCACAAGCGGUGGAGCAUGUGGUUUAAUUCGAAGCAACGCGAAGAACCUUACCAGGUCUUGACAUCCUUUGACCACUCUAGAGAUAGAGCUUUCCCUUCGGGGACAAAGUGACAGGUGGUGCAUGGUUGUCGUCAGCUCGUGUCGUGAGAUGUUGGGUUAAGUCCCGCAACGAGCGCAACCCUUAUUACUAGUUGCCAGCAUUAAGUUGGGCACUCUAGUGAGACUGCCGGUGACAAACCGGAGGAAGGUGGGGACGACGUCAAAUCAUCAUGCCCCUUAUGACCUGGGCUACACACGUGCUACAAUGGAUGGUACAACGAGUUGCGAGACCGCGAGGUUUAGCUAAUCUCUUAAAACCAUUCUCAGUUCGGAUUGUAGGCUGCAACUCGCCUACAUGAAGCCGGAAUCGCUAGUAAUCGCGGAUCAGCAUGCCGCGGUGAAUACGUUCCCGGGCCUGUACACACCGCCCGUCACACCAUGAGAGUUUGUAACACCCAAAGCCGGUGAGGUAACCCUUCGGGGAGCCAGCCGUCUAA